ensembl:lncRNA
UUUUUUAUUACAUGUGUGUUUUCCAUAGAACUCCACAGUUCAGAUGUGCUGAGCUCUCAGGAUAAUGUUUCUAACUGGGAUGAUGCUUUGAUCAAAGGCUGGGAUGCCAAUGAAGAUGCUGUGGUGCCGAAUGCCUCGGAGUCCAUAAGUUCAGCGGUAGCAGAUAGACCUUCAGACGUUACAAAUGCUGAUAAUUUUGUGCUGGAUAUAGAUGAUCAAGACUUGAUAUUAGCUGCAGACAGCGUUGCCCCCACAACUGUUACCAAUAAUACAGAGCUGACCGAGGUGGUUGAAAAUCAUCAGACUGAUGAACUUAACGCUGUUGAGACUCCUGCCGAACAUUCUGCAUCAACUAAUGAUCAAGCUCUACCAUCAAAUCAACAAUGCUUCAUUCAUGAGCUAUUGCUGGGGGGCCGUGAACAUAAUCGACGUGUGGAGGAAAAACUGUUGAGUCUUCGGAGAUGUUCAGCUUGUUCAUUCAGUCAUAUUGAUACGUUAUUGACAAACUCUGUUGAACAAGGACAGAUAUGCAGACUGGUUCAUGAACGUAAAGACUUUAUUGCCGAACAAGUGAAGAAGAUCGACAGCGGGCGUUGGGAGGAAUUCAGAGAACGUCAACUCACGCCACCAGAUCCAGUCUGUAUCCAGAUCAGAGGGUCACUGCAGUCACCCGGAUCCAGUACGUAUCCAGACAUGAUGGUGGAUCAGCACCUAGAAAGGACCUCUACAUCCCUGAAAAACAGCGGAGACCAGGACAACUAGAGUCCAGAUACAGAUCCCCUGUAAAGACCUUGCAGCCUGGAAUUAAACUGGCUGCAAGUUAGCUUCCGGCUUUGCUACCGUUCGGACGUUCUAGCUUACUGCUCUGUGCUUUGCUUCUUAUUUCUGUACUUUUCUCUGAUUUUUCUAAGAUUUUUAUCAGCACAGUGCUCAAACAACAGAUUUUUUGGCACAAACGCUAAAACUAAAAACAUUGGGACUGGAAUAAUACUACAAAAAGAAGACUUUGUCUCCCACUGCGAACAGCUUACAUUCCGGAGACGGGAAAACAACUUCCUACAUUCAAACAGAAAAGAGAGAAAAUGCCUCCUGUUGGAUCUACUUGUUGCAUGAACUGCUGCAAACUUCUACAAAGGAUUGUGAUUCUUGAAACAAAGUUACUUUCUGAACUUCCAAAACAGACGGAACACUAAGCAGACCGUCGUCAUGGACCCCCUCAGCAUACAGCCGGUGAGUCCUAUGAAUCUUCUGAAUCUCAACAGUUUAUACCAAGUGUAGAGGAACAAGCCGAAACUGAUCGCCACACUAAUCUAUGGCACAAACAGGGAGCGAGACCCAAAGGAACACGAGAUAUCAGAUUGUCACGGGUUUCUCGUAUUGCUGCCAUAGCUU